ensembl:snRNA U6 U6 spliceosomal RNA
GUGCUCACUUCAGCAGCACACAUACUAAAACUGGAAUGAUACAGAGAAGAUUAGCAGGGCCCCUGCACAAGGAUGACACACAAGUUCAUCGAGUGUUCCAUAUUUUU